CCUACGGGGGGCAGCAGUGGGGAAUAUUGCACAAUGGGGGAAACCCUGAUGCAGCGACGCCGCGUGAGCGAUGAAGUAUUUCGGUAUGUAAAGCUCUAUCAGCAGGGAAGAAAAUGACGGUACCUGACUAAGAAGCCCCGGCUAACUACGUGCCAGCAUCCGCGGUAAUACGUAGGGGGCAAGCGUUAUCCGGAUUUACUGGGGGUAAAGGGAGCGUAGACGGCGAUGCAAGCCAGAUGUGAAAGGCCGUGGCUCAACCCCGGGACUGCAUUUGGAACUGUAUAGCUGGAGUGUCGGAGAGGCAGGCGGAAUUCCUAGUGUAGCGGUGAAAUGCGUAGAUAUUAGGAGGAACACCAGUGGCGAAGGCGGCCUGCUGGACGAUGACUGACGUUGAGGCUCGAAAGCGUGGGGAGCAAACAGGAUUAGAUACCCUGGUAGUC
rnacentral:rRNA from 1 species